rnacentral:lncRNA from 1 species
CAAUUUUCUUUUCUGUAAAUACUCAGUAUUUUUCUUUCCUCUCUAGAGAAAGGCAACUCCUUGUGAACCAGUGCGCCUUUCCCUGGCAUGGCAGCUGUGGACAGCAGUCAAUCUCGUUGCUGAUGAAGACACAGAAGACAGUGACACCUGGGUCACGCCAGGAAGCCAGAGCUAUGAAGGCCUCAGGGUUGGGUCAUCCGAGAAGGGUCAUGCUAAAGGAAAAGACAGCGACAUGCCUCAGCAAACAGCAAUCCCACAGUAUCUACUUUACAAAACGUUUAAAAAAUGUCAAAGGGGAACCAGUAAGAAUGAAGACUCUGAAGAGAUUUAAUGGCUUCUCCUUUCUACAAGUGACAAACAAGUAGAGUCUCUAGCAUGCUG